rnacentral:rRNA from 1 species
AACGAACGCUGGCGGCAGGCUUAACACAUGCCAGUCGAACGCCCCGCAAGGGGCGUGGCAGACGGGUGAGUAACGCGUGGGAACAUACCCUUUCCUGCGGAAUAGCUCCGGGAAACUGGAAUUAAUACCGCAUACGCCCUACGGGGGAAAGAUUUAUCGGGGAAGGAUUGGCCCGCGUUGGAUUAGCUAGUUGGUGGGGUAAAGGCCUACCAAGGCGACGAUCCAUAGCUGGUCUGAGAGGAUGAUCAGCCACAUUGGGACUGAGACACGGCCCAAACUCCUACGGGAGGCAGCAGUGGGGAAUAUUGGACAAUGGGCGCAAGCCUGAUCCAGCCAUGCCGCGUGAGUGAUGAAGGCCUUAGGGUUGUAAAGCUCUUUCACCGAUGAAGAUAAUGACGGUAGUCGGAGAAGAAGCCCCGGCUAACUUCGUG